AUAUGUGUGUGUGUAUAUAUAUAUACACACAUAUAUAUACACAUAUAUGUAUGUAUGUGUAUAUGUGUACAUAUAUAUGUAUAUGUGUACAUAUAUAGAUGUAUGUAUGUAUAUGAAAAAAUGUGUUGGCUAAAGUCCUGGAUCUUCACAAUCCUACCUACAGGAACUGAUUAAAUCAGGUUACGUUACCUGGCGUAACCAUGGAGGCCCGGCCAAUAGGAACGUGUGAAUCCUACUGGAGGGCGGGUCUUGCCUGGUAGUUGCGUGGGUUCCAUGAGCCCGGCCAAUAGGAACGUGCGAAUCCUACUGGAGGGCGGGUCUUGCCUGGUAGUUGCGUGGGUUCCAUGAGCCCGGCCAAUAGGAACGUGCGAAUCCUACUGGAGGGCGGGUCUUGCCUGGUAGUUGCGUGGGUUCCAUAACAACACGUCUCCAACAGGGGGAACAAUUUAUAGUCAGGUGUUUGUUGUGUUUUUGGGGGUUGUGUAUUUAUUUACUUGCCCUUAACGUUGAACCCUGGGAUGGACUUAAAUAGUGUGUUGAUGUAUAAACUGUUUGAUAGAACAGAUUUCUAAUCUCUUAUUUUGAAAAAAAAAAACUAAGUCAAAUCACUGUUUGAAUGUAUUUUAUUUCUGAGCACGAAACUGCAGAAACGGACCAAACUGGAGUAUUUUUGAUAUUUGACUGUUUUGAAACUCCGUUUAGAUUAGAUUAAACUACAUAGAAACAAACCUUUUAUCAAAUACAAUGAAUACUUAAAGUAUUUUCUGAGUAGAAACUAUAUUUAAAGUGUGCUACCUUUAAUGAUAAUCUCAGUUUUAUGUUGGUUUUUAUUCAUCGUGCUGCAGCUUCAUUGAUUUUAAAAUGAAGAACAAUCAGCAACGCAAACCCGAUUUCUAAACUCUCACAUCCUCCGAAUUCACCAAAAGAAUCAAAAUAGAUUCAAUAACCAGAGCUUAAACGUCUCGGGGGUGAAUACGCAAAAGCAAAAGUGUUAAAUAAUCCCUUUUUAGAGCUGCGAAAAUUAAUCAAUUAAUCAAUUAGUUGUCAACUUUCAAAUUAAUCGCCGACUAUUUUGAUAAUCGAUCAGUUGCUUUGAGUCAUUUUUAGAGACAAAAGUAAAACAUUCUUUGAUUCCAACUUCUUAAAUGUGAAUAUUUUUCUCUCCUUUUGUGACAGUAAACUGAAUAUUUUUGAAUUGUGGACAAAAUGAGACGUUCGAGGACGUCACGUCGUCUCGGGCUUUUGGGAAAACACUGAUCCACAUUUUUCACCAUUUUCUGACAUUUUAGAGACCAAACGACUGAUCGAUUAAUCAAGAAAAUAAGCAGAUUAAUCGACUAUGAAAAUAAUCGUCGGUUGCAGCCCAAAUCCCUGUGUGAGACUCGGUUAAAUACAACACCAUAACACUGCUAAUUUAGGUUUUUUAAGACAUUUUAAGCUUAUUUGCUUUAUCAGAAAUCCAGUUUUUCGUUAGCGGAGGUGGACGGUCGCCUUCUCUAACGUCACAAAAGGAUCGUUACACUUUUAUUAAUGAAACAAAAACCUUAACAUUCAAGAGCAGAGGCACUUAAAACGUGAUGCGUUCAAUGAGUGUGGGAAUGUUCAAAGCUGUCAUCGACUAACUAAACUGAUCACAAGACAAGAAAUGCAGUGAAUACUUAACAAAUGAGUAUUUCCUUGAGUUUAAAUGGAGCUAGAUCAAUAAUAAUAACUCCAAAAAAGAACAUUUACUGUGAAUUAUUUUCACAUUUUCCUGCUCCAAACCUUGAGAAUCAGUUUGUCCAACGGGGCGGGUUGUAAAAGGCAACGUUUACAUCCAAUAAAGUCAACAUUUUAACACAUUUUAACACAUUUGACCAUCUUUAAGGUCCAACCGAUAAGACUCGUAUCACAAAGGGAAGAAACGGUUGAGCGUCUGGUUGUUUUCGCUCGUGUUUCUCUCAGUUUUUCUGACUGUUUGUGACGUCACUGAAGAUUGUAAAUGUAAUUGUAAAUGUACCGAGGGCUAAAGUUCACCACGUGUUCUCCGUCACGUGAACAUUGUGUGAGUUUACUUUUUAAAACUGAAUGUGUUCAAAUUCACUGAGAAUGUUUUGCUGAUUUUAACGCUGGUCUUUCUACCUAAUAACACGGAUGGCUGGUUCCCUAAAACGCUCUUAACAAGUCAAAUUCAUCCAAUCAGCUCACUACUUCCAUUCACUUUUGGGUGUAUUAUUUGAUUUUAAUAGCAUUAUUCUACUAAACUAAAAAAAAUCUGGAUCAACCAUAAAAUUACCCACAAACAUCCUCUGAUUUUAUUUCAAAAAUAAUUCACAGUUUCAUCUUUUUUAACACAAAAUUAGAUAUAAUUUCAUAUAAAUGAAGUUUAAAGAUGCAGCAGGUGAGACUUAUAAAACUAACUUUCUGUCCUAUUUGCUGAAUUUGACCCUAUGUUCAAGUAGAACUACACGAAGCGGGUAAUUAGAAAAAAAAAUCCGGCUCCUCUGGCGCCACCUACAGCCUGAAGUGUGAAAUCCCAAAAUCCCCGGCUCCCUGUUGAGAUGCACCAGUCAUUCAUUCAUUGUGCCUCGUGGGGGGGGGAGGGGCUUAGGAGACCGUUUGGGCUUUAGAAGAAGGGGGGGGGGACUGAGACAGUGUCCAUGUUCAAGUCCUGGAUCUGUAGUCUCACCAGACCGAGCCGAGACCAGUAGAUUUGUUGGUCUGGGGAGUCUGCUCUGUGUUUUCUCUGCGAAGAGACGUGACCAACGGGCAUCGUUCAAAUGACUCUGGACGCAACUUCAUAGUCCCCCAACCUGUUUUUCCUGUUUUAUUAAGCAUAAAGUGUAAACUAUCACCCAAUUUUGUCACAUCUUCUUAGCCAACUUCAUUCCAACUUACUGCUACAAUUAUUUGUGGAAGUCAUGGUCAAUAAACCCAAUUCAUAUUAACUUCUGCUUACACUUUUAUUGUUAAAAGACCCAGAAAUUAGGACUUAAUUUAGCUGCUACAGUUAAGAUCAGAGGAACGUACGUUGAUGUGUAAUUACAGCCUGUUUUCCUGUAUGGACCUAUGAAUGUUCUUUUUGGGCAAUUAGGUUGAAAGAAACCCAUAUUUUUGAUAUAGAAACUGUUGAAAAAGGGGGUCAAGAGUAGCGUUUGUGGCUUUAAUGUCGUCAGCAGGAACGAUCUGAGCUGCGUUCAAAUGCCGAUUAUGUUUGUAAAAG